GGGCGACGAGCAAUCUGAAGCUCCCCAUAUAUUAUGCUAUUGUGGGUUACGAACUAUUCUCCAGACUUCAUGGAUGGAAUCCAACCCAGGACGGCGAUUUUUGUCAUGUCCAAAUUUUAGAAAAAGAGGAUGUGGCUUUUUCUUAUGGCAUGACCCAGAACCGUCAGAGAGAAGUAAGACAAUUAUUAAUGAGUUGAAGA